rnacentral:lncRNA from 1 species
GGGCUGGUGAUACCCUCGGGGAAAUAAAUCUCCACCAGCAGUGGCAUUACUUACUGUUUGUUUCAUAUAUGUGCAUAUAUAUAGGUCUUAUCAGUAUUUUUCAUAGAUUUGAUAUCCAGAAGUUGAUUGGUUAAAGACAAUUUCUUUUUGGCGUAUCCAUGGUAACAACCCAUAUGUUUUUGAUAAAAUAUAUUGCAAAAAGGGGAUAAAGAUGUGAUAUAUAUCCCCAAAUUUGGUCAAAAGUAGACUUUCAAUCCUUUGGAGUGAUACCUUUUC